GGGGGCGAUUUGGCUUCGACGGGGUUAGUUGAGACCAAGGCUGCAGGUCGAGCGACCCAGUGACUCGUUAAUCCAAGGGAAAUAAACACAAAAGCAGACUCUUACGAGUACGCUCUGGCUGCAUAGCCAGCGCCUUUAACGAAAUGCGGCCCACAGUUUGUUAAAGGCGUGGAUAAACGGGCUGGCCGGACCUGCGGACUUCCUGGCAGGUACGGUGAGAACCACAGGCAGUUAGUCUUCGAGUAGCCUGUCCGCUGGCGACUAAGAGAUGAAAUCCAAAUAACGGAAUAAACCUGUAGAUGUCUUGGGGGAAGAGCUCCGGACGCGGGUUCGAGCCCCGCCGCCUCCACCA
rnacentral:tmRNA from 1 species